UGGGGAAUUUUGGACAAUGGGCGAAAGCCUGAUCCAGCAAUGCCGCGUGUGUGAAGAAGGCCUUCGGGUUGUAAACACUUUUGUCCGGAAAGAAAUCCUUGGCUCUAAUACAGUCGGGGGAUGACGGUACCGGAAGAAUAAGCACCGGCUAACUACGUGCCAGCAGCCGCGGUAAUACGUAGGGUGCAAGCGUUAAUCGGAAUUACUGGGCGUAAAGCGUGCGCAGGCGGUUUGCUAAGACCGAUGUGAAAUCCCCGGGCUCAACCUGGGAACUGCAUUGGUGACUGGCAGGCUAGAGUAUGGCAGAGGGGGGUAGAAUUCCACGUGUAGCAGUGAAAUGCGUAGAGAUGUGGAGGAAUACCGAUGGCGAAGGCAGCCCCCUGGGCCAAUACUGACGCUCAUGCACGAAAGCGUGGGGGAGCAAACAGGAUUAGAUACCCUGGUAGUCCACGCCCUAAACGAUGUCAACUAGUUGUUGGGGAUUCAUUUCCUUAGUAACGUAGCUAACGCGUGAAGUUGACCGCCUGGGGAGUACGGUCGCAAGAUUAAAACUCAAAGGAAUUGACGGGGUCAUAGCUGUUUCCU
rnacentral:rRNA from 1 species